UGGGGAAUAUUGGACAAUGGGCGCAAGCCUGAUCCAGCCAUGCCGCGUGAGUGAUGAAGGCCUUAGGGUUGUAAUGCUCUUUUGGCGGGGACGAUAAUGACGGUACCCGCAGAAUAAGCCCCGGCUAACUUCGUGCCAGCAGCCGCGGUAAUACGAAGGGGGCUAGCGUUGUUCGGAAUUACUGGGCGUAAAGCGCACGUAGGCGGAUCGGCAAGUCAGGGGUGAAAGCCCUGGGCUCAACCUAGGAAUUGCGCUUGAAACUACGGAGCUAGAGUUUGGCAGAGGGGGUGGAAUUCCACGUGUAGCAGUGAAAUGCGUAGAUAUGUGGAGGAACACCGAUGGCGAAGGCAGCCCCCUGGGCCAAAACUGACGCUCAGGCACGAAAGCGUGGGGAGCAAACAGGAUUAGAUACCCAAGUAGUCCCUGAGCGGGCUGGCAAGGCGCAU
rnacentral:rRNA from 1 species